GUCCACGUGGCCUAAUGGAUAAGGCAACUGACUUCGAAUCAGGAGAUUGCAGGUUCGAAUCCUGUCGCGGACG
rnacentral:tRNA from 1 species